GGACUGGUAGUUCAGUGGAAGAGCAUCUGUAGAGGCAAUCAAAAGGUCCUAAGUUCAAAUCCCGGUCAAUCCU